UUCAUACUCCCUCCGUCCCAAAAAAAUUAGAUGACUAGAUAUGGAUGUAUCUAGACACGUUUUAGUGUUAGAUACAUUCAUAUUUAAAUAAAUUUAAGAUAAGUAAUUUGAGAUGGAGGGAGUAUAAG
rnacentral:pre_miRNA from 1 species